AAUCUUCCUCUUAUUUUUUUUCCCCCAUGUCACACUGAAGUUUUGUCCUCUCAAGAAGAUUCAGGAGGUGCUGGUAGGCAGGGGGGAGUUUUGUGAGGGCUUCAGAGAGCUGGAGGAAAAAAACCCUGUUCCCCAGACAUGAGCUGGAACAAGUUGUCCUGCCUGCAGCCCCAGGACUUGAAUGUGCUGCUAAAACCCAUCAGUGUAUUCAGCUGUUCCAUGGGAAUAUUCCCCAUUUCUGGACUCUCCAAGGUUGGAUCAUUAGGAUACCACUUUACUCUCUGGUGAAUAUGGAAUGAUCAGAAUUUUGGAUGUGCUCUUGCAGCCUUUCACUGCAGGGCCUGAUGGGCCCCAGCUGACCCAGGCUACUUAAGGCUUCUCUGCUAUGGAAUCACAGCCCUGGAGCAAGGAAUACUGAGA